UGUAUGACAUUGCCCUUGUUGAACUCACCAUCAACCGGAACCUGAACCCACCCAUCUUCAACCCCGUCAGUUAUGAAGAGACCAUUCUCGAGCCCAGGCCAAUUGGAGACGUGGUUCUCAUAGAGUGACAGUUUCAGAUGUUGAUAGCCUGGACAAAGGAUACACUGAAGAGGAUUCGGCAUACCUGUUUCCUGAAAAACGUGGAUACCGUGCCAAUGUUCAAAGUGUCAAGCCUCCAAAACACAUGCAUGUAGAGUCCCCUGCUUCAAAAGCGUGUCGUAAAAAGUCGACUUUACGAGAAGCGAAUUGAAUCUAUACAUGACCCGGCUAAUCAUGUGACCUUGUUGAUCAUGUGACCUGGCAGAUCAUGCGAUCUGACUGAUCAGGUGACCUUAGACAUGAGUCAUGGUGGUUUUAAUGGAAAUAAGACUUCGGUAAAUGUACAAAGUAUGAAUCGAUAUAACGCA